UUGCGAUAGGCACAGAUGUCGAUUGUUGUCAUCUGAUAUAUUUAUAACUCCUGGACGAAAAUUGUGCUACACGACGCAAGUUUUCCUUGGAAAAGCCAAAUAUACAGCAGCAUUCUAACGGUAGAGAGUCAAGCAGCAACAAGCCCACAUUCACAAUGGAGAACAACGAAGCCCCCUCCCCAUCUGGAUCCAAUGUGAACGAUUUUCCCAUACUUCCGCCACCACCAAACAACAACAACUUCCAACCGAACCAAUACGGGGACCACCACAGCAACAACAAUGCAGCCCAGAAGCGACUGCAGCAGACGCAGGCCAAGGUGGACGAGGUGGUCGGGAUCAUGCGGGUAAACGUGGAGAAGGUGCUGGAGCGGGACCAGAAGCUGUCGGAGCUGGGAGAACGAGCCGACCAGCUGGAGCAGGGCGCCUCGCAGUUCGAACAGCAGGCCGGAAAACUGAAGCGCAAACAGUGGUGGGCCAACAUGAAAAUGAUGAUCAUUCUAGGCGUGAUUGCCGUAGUGCUGCUCAUCAUCGUCCUGGUGUCGCUUUUCAAUUGAAACAAUUAAACCCUUACAUACACCCCAAAAAAUACAAAAAGCAAUCGCAACUGAAAAAGAAAAACCAAUUCCGUUUUCCAUACAACAAUGUUAAGGUUCUCAGAUUUUACAAAAAAUAACACACUUAAGAGUGUGUUUCGGGCUCCUACUAUAUACGCAUUAUAUUGUAUAAUAUAUUAUAUAAUAUGUUUAAGCUAAGCAACUCCAAAACUCUAAAGUGUCCGUUUGGCCAUCUAGCAGUAACAGCGGAGGCGGCGGAGCUAAGGCCGUUACCGAGGCACCGCACUAGGUGCCUUCCAAGUCAAGGAGGAGAGAAUUGGGGCAACCACACAGAUACGGAACAGGAACUAUGGACCAAACAUUUACCCAUGUAUAUCUGGAACGGGAACCAAGCAGCAUUAGCUUUCGGCCUUAACGCACAACACGGAGAGAGAGAGGGUGGAGAGAAUCAUUAUGGAAAUUUAACUAAAAUCGCGUCUAACAUAUAUUUAACCAGAUUGUAAUUAUUAAAACUUAAUGUUAAACGAAA